rnacentral:tRNA from 1 species
UGCGCAUCGGUGGGCAUGCGCAGCACCUGGCCGCUCUUCAUGCGGUUGAUGUUGCCGCCGACGAAGGCAUCCGGGUUCAGGUCCUGGAUGGCCAGC